AGGGGUUCCUGUGCCGUCGGAGGAUGGAUGGAAAGGCUGCUGAACUUUGGUUCGAAUUAUCCUGCGAAAUGACAGUUAAAAGAACACGAUGAGUCGAAGUUGCAGCUGGUUGGCUGGAUCACAUUACGGAAAUGUCUUGUGUGGGUCGGCCCAUGAUCUCUCUUCAGCUCAUUAAAAUGUAAUGCUGCUGGCCAGCUCUAUGGAACAGUGCCUCCUAACCAAAGUUCAUUACUCCUGCUUGCAGGUUCCUUUGAUGCAUUCAGGUGUACGGAGGAAUGGGCAGCCUAUUGAAGCAUUGCAGACCACCUGAGAGUUGUUUUCUGGACUCUGGGAGGUCACCUGACACCAGUGAUCUGGAGAAGGUGCACCGCACUGGAUUUCAUAUGAAAAUAUCUUACAGCUUUGGAAUGACAUGAGACUG